UACGAAGGGGGCUAGCGUUGUUCGGAAUUACUGGGCGUAAAGCGCGCGCGGGCGGCCAAUCAAGUCAGGGGUGAAAGCCCGGAGCUCAACUCCGGAAUUGCCUUUGAAACUGAUCGGCUUGAGUACGGGAGAGGUGAGUGGAAUUCCCAGUGUAGAGGUGAAAUUCGUAGAUAUUGGGAAGAACACCGGUGGCGAAGGCGGCUCACUGGCCCGUUUCUGACGCUCAGGCGCGACAGCGUGGGGAUCAAACAGG
rnacentral:rRNA from 1 species